AUUGAACGCUGGCGGCAGGCCUAACACAUGCAAGUCGAGCGGAGCGGCGGCCGGGUGAGUAAUACCUAGGAAUCUGCCUGGUAGUGGGGGAUAACGUCCGGAAACGGGAGCUAAUACCGCAUACUAUCAGAUGAGCCUAGGUCGGAUUAGCUAGUUGGUGGGGUAAAGGCCUACCAAGGCGACGAUCCGUAACUGGUCUGAGAGGAUGAUCAGUCACACUUGAACUGAGACACAGUCCAGACUCCUACGGGAGGCAGCAGUGGGUAUGAUUGCCCAAUGGAGCAAACCCUGAUGCAGCAACGCCGCGUGCGGGAUGACGGCCUUCGUGUUGUAAACCGCGUUCAGCCAUGACGCGGUAGUGGCACAAGACGCACCGGCUAACUACGUGCCAGCCGCCGCGGUAAUAC
rnacentral:rRNA from 1 species